CCUACGGGAGGCAGCAGUGGGGGAUAUUGGACAAUGGGGGAAACCCUGAUCCAGCGACGCCGCGUGAGUGAAGAAGUAUUUCGGUAUGUAAAGCUCUAUCAGCAGGGAAGAAAGAAAUGACGGUACCUGAGUAAGAAGCCCCGGCUAACUACGUGCCAGCAGCCGCGGGAAUACGUAGGGGGCAAGCGUUAUCCGGAAUUACUGGGUGUAAAGGGAGCGUAGACGGUAAUGCAAGUCUGGAGUGAAAGGCGGGGGCCCAACCCCCGGACUGCUAUGGAAACUGUGUAACUGGAGUGCAGGAGAGGCAGGCGGAAUUCGUAGUGUAGCGGUGAAAUGCGUAGAUAUUAGGAGGAACACCAGUGGCGAAGGCGGCCUGCUGGACUGUAACUGACGUUGAGGCUCGAAAGCGUGGGGAGCAAACAGGAUUAGAUACCCCGGUAGUC
rnacentral:rRNA from 1 species